ensembl:processed_transcript
CUAAUCAUGGAAACUUUAAAAACCAUCAUGUGGUUUAGAAAAUGGUGUGAAUUCUGCAGAACCCAUAAAGAUAUCAAUCAACAUUUUUAUAACAACAUGAGGGUGAAUUACUGAUGACAGAAUUGCAUUUUUGG